rnacentral:rRNA from 1 species
AUUGAACGCUGGCGGCAGGCCUAACACAUGCAAGUCGAACGAGUGGCGGACGGGUGAGUAAUGUCUGGGAAACUGCCCGAUGGAGGGGGAUAACUACUGGAAACAGUAGCUAAUACCGCAUACCAUCGGAUGUGCCCAGAUGGGAGUGGUUAGUAGGUGGGGUAACGGCUCACCUAGUCGACGAGCCCUAGCUGGUCUGUGCGGAUGACCAGCCACGCUGGAACUGAGACACGGUCCAGACUCCUACGGGAGGCAGCAGUGGGGAAUAUUGGACAAUGGGGGAAAGCCUGAUGCCGCCAUGCCGCUUGUAUGAAGAGGGCCUUCGGGUUGUAAAGUACUUUCAGCGAGGAGGCGUUAAUCGCAGAAGAAGCACCGGCUAACUCCGUGCCAGCAGCCGCGGUAAUAC